UCCGAGUUGACCCCGGCAGUCUUCGAUGAGUCCCCGGCAUAACCCGCUGGCAACAUCGAACGAGGGUUGCGCUCGUUGCGGGACUUAACCCAACAUCUCACGACACGAGCUGACGACAACCAUGCACCACCUGUGCAGGACCCUUGCGGACCUCCCAUCUCGGGGAGAUUUUCCUGCAUGUCAAGCCUUGGUAAGGUUCUUCGCGUUGCAUCGAAUUAAGCAACAUGCUCCGCCGCUUGUGCGGGCCCCCGUCAAUUCCUUUGAGUUUUAGCCUUGCGGCCGUACUCCCCAGUCGGGGCACUUAAUGCGUUAGCUACGGCACGGAACCCGUUGAUAAGGCCCCACACCUAGUGCCCAACGUUUACGGCGUGGACUAC
rnacentral:misc_RNA from 1 species